rnacentral:lncRNA from 1 species
GAGCGGGGUGUGGGGGGAGCGGGGGGCACAGCCAGGUGCAUGUUAUGGGUCCAGGGCAGCGACCUAGUCCAUUUGUCCUUUUCGAAGUGUGGCCUGGGACACCUCCUAUCCAGCCAUACGCCGCCCAGGACUGGCUCAACAGCUCCACCCUCCACUGCUGUUCACCCAUGACACGUCACUUCCCACCCGCCACUGCUGGCUCACCUGUGACACCCCAGGCAGCUCAGAUGCCCGGCAGGUCCUGCUGGUGUGUGUUAGCCGGGGUCUCCAAAGAACCAGAGCCAGCAGGGGACACACCCAUCUCUGUAUCUGGAGAAAAAGAUCGAUGAGAAGGAAUCUGCUCCUGUGAUGAUGGAGGCUGACAAGUCCCGAGAGCCACGGUUGGCACCCUGGAGACCCCUGAGGGUGAUACCACCACUCCAGGCUGAAAGCUGGCAGGCUUGAGACCCUGGGAGAGCUGGCCCUCUGACUCCUGGGACUUCUUAUUCUAUCCUAGUAUUUCCUCAGCUGAGUGCAUGGGGCCAGACCACACUGGGGAGGGCAGUCAGCGUCACUCAGAGCACCGGGUCAUCUCAUGCAGAAACACCCUCAAAGAAAUAGCCCAAAUUAUGCUGACCAAAUAUCUGGGCACCCCGUGCCCCAGACAAGUUGACACAGAAAAUUAACCAUCACAGGUUAACUCCAUCCAGGAGUGGAAUUGCUGGGUCAUAGAGAAGGCAUAGGAAUUCACAGAAAUCACCAAACGGUUUUCAGGCGGUUGUGCCAUGUUAAACUCCCACUGGAAAGAGAGGAGAGCUGUGAUUGUUCCACGUCCUCAGCAACGUUUAGAAUAGGCAGUCUUUGGCCGGGCCGGGCACAGAGGCUCAAACCUGUAACCCCAGCACUUUGGGAGGCCAUAGUGGGUGGAUUACCUGAGAUCAAGAGUUCAAGACCAGCCUGGCCAACAUGGUUAAACCCCGUCUCUAUUAAAAAUGCAAAAAUUAGCCAGGCGUGGUGGUGCGUGCCUGUAAUUCCAGCUACUUGGGGGCUGAGGCAGGAGAAUCGUUUGAACCCAGGAGGCAGAGUUUGCAGCGAGCCGAGAUCGCGCCACUGCACUCCAGCCUGGGCAACAGAAUGAGACUCUGUCUCCAAAAAAAGAAAAAAUAAAUAAAGAAAAGUCAUUCUGUAGUUUUAGCCUUUGUGAAGGCAUGAAGUGGCAUCUCAUUAUGGUUUAAAUGCUUAUUUCGCUG